rnacentral:rRNA from 1 species
UACGAAGGGGGCUAGCGUUGUUCGGAUUUACUGGGCGUAAAGCGCACGUAGGCGGAUUGUUAAGUCAGGGGUGAAAUCCCGGAGCUCAACUCCGGAACUGCCUUUGAUACUGGCAAUCUUGAGGCUGGAAGAGGUUAGUGGAAUUCCCAGUGUAGAGGUGAAAUUCGUAGAUAUUGGGAAGAACACCAGUGGCGAAGGCGGCUAACUGGUCCAGAUCUGACGCUGAGGUGCGAAAGCGUGGGGAGCGAUCCGG